rnacentral:rRNA from 1 species
GACGAACCGUGCGAACGUUAUUCGGAAUCACUGGGCUUAAAGGGCGCGUAGGCGGGCGAACAAGUCAGGGGUGAAAGCUUCCGGCUCAACCGGAAAAGUGCCUUUGAUACUUUUCGCCUCGAGGGAGGUAGGGGCCUGCGGAACUUCCGGUGGAGCGGUGAAAUGCGUAGAUAUCGGAAGGAACGCCGGUGGCGAAAGCGGCGGGCUGGACCUCUUCUGACGCUGAGGCGCGAAAGCCAGGGGAGCAAACGGG